rnacentral:lncRNA from 1 species
AGAGAUAAAAUUUUGGGCCAAAAUUAAUUGAUCUUUCUCAAAUUCUGUAUCCCAAUCUCUUCAGGAAGAGAGACGAACAGUACGAAAACAAGUCGGAUUCCUCACUCGGAGCACACACAAAAACGACCCCGUCAACUUUUCUCUCGUAUCUGAGCAAAAUCCAGUAACCCUUCAACAAUCUUCAUUAGAUACAUACACACACGAACAGAAAAAGGAGCGAGAGUGAGAAUUUGGGAUGACUUUCAUUCGAAAAAUUCGAAAAAUAGAGGGUUUAGGAGAAGAAUAUUAAGAGUUCGAAAAAAAUAAUUUUCUAUAAUUUGUGAUUUGAUUUUCUUCUUCUAAAAUUCUAAAAAACCAGAAAAUGUUUCUGUUUUUAGUUGAAGAAGACUUGACUUCAAGUGUUCGUUUUCUAAAAAAAAAGCUGUUUAUCAUCUUUGAUUUCGGAUUUGGUUUGAAAAAAUGGAUGUGAGCUGAGGUUCGAAGCUGGUUUAAAUCAUCGCCGAGGUGCUGACAGUCCGUUGAGGUUUCUGUUCGAGGUCCGUUGGCUGAUUGGCCUUUACUCCAGUUUUCUCUUCAGUUUUUAGUUGUGUAUCAUGUAUGUACUUUCGAUUCGAAAUGUUGCAAAUGUCGUUGGAUGAGCUAUUAUUGAAAUGUGUAAUAAUUUUUUCCUUUUUUCACUCUGCAAAUUUCAGUAGUCAAGUUAGCUUUUCCUCUGUUUGAUUUUGUCACUAGGUGACGAUUAUAUACUUUAGUUUAAGUAGCUGUUCAAUGAUAUGAUGUUGUUUGACAUUUUGAGUAAUAGUAUUAUGAUUUAAACUGGGUAGUUUGCUUCAGUUUCUA